UUUCCGUAGGUGAACCUGCGGAAGGAUCAUUCAUAAUAAGUGUUCUACUGCACUUUUUAAAAAUAGUACUCACCUUGUGUGCAAUGUUGUGUGGAAUUCGUAAGAAUUUCACACCUACACCAACCUAUAACCUUGAACCACUUUGUCUGAAAAACUAUUAUGAAUACUUAAUUCAAAAUACAACUUUCAACAACGGAUCUCUUGGCUCUC
rnacentral:misc_RNA from 1 species